ensembl:lncRNA
AACUCAUCCGGGCCUUCAGAGACUCCAUCAGCCUCUUAAGUUAUUUUUGAUCAAUUGCUGCUUCCAUUCUCUCAGAUGCUGGACUGUAAAGGUGGACAGGAGGACCCCUGAAAGGAGAAAAUCAUGAUGAAGGAGGAAGGAGACUGGAACUGUGGACCCAGCUCAGCAAUACAACCUGAAGAGAAAGAUUCUUCAUAUAAGUGAUAUACUGCUACUGCUGCUAAGUCACUUCAGUCGUGUCCGACUCUGUGUGACCCCAUAGACGGCAGCCCACCAGGCCCCGCUGUCCCUGGGAUUCUCCAGAUCACUCAUUCUGGGACAAGCCAGCUGCCCUAUCUUGAGCAUCCAGAUGGAAAGGCUCACAUGGUGAAAAAUGGAGGCUUCACGCUAACAGCCAUCUAAGUGAACUUGAAAGUAUUAUAUUCUCCAGUUCCGAUCAAGUCUUCAGAUGAUGGCACCCCAGAAAGUUGCUUCAUUGCAAUCGAGAACCUGAGCAGAAAAGUACCGAGUUAAACCACUCCCAGUGGGUUCAAUCCCUGGGUCAGGAAGAUCCCCUGGAGAUGUGUAUGGCAACCCACUCCAGUAUUCUUGCCUGGAGAAUCCCAUGGACAGAGGAGCCUGGAGGGCUGCAGUCCAUGAGGUGACAAAGAGUUGGACUCAACCGAUUUGACUUGGCAUACACACAAGCCACUCCCAGAUUCCUAACAUUCAGAAACUGAAAUAAUCAAUGUUUGUUUGUUUUCUUUGAUGCUAAGUGUGGAGGUAAAUUGUUAACAGAACAACAGAUCACCAGCACACACACACACACACACACCCUCCUCUCUCCACUCCUUUUAUUUUUUGACCAUGGACAUGUGGCUUGUGGGAACUAAGAUUCCCAAUCAAGAGCACGGCAGUGAAAGCACCAAGUCCUAACAAUUGGAUCACCAGAGCACAGCCUCAGCUUCUUUUCUUUCUCUCCAGGAAGGAGGGAAUCUUUUCUACUCUUUAGGGAAAAUCAACUGCCCAGAGACAAUGCUUCUCUUCCUAUCGGAUUCAGAUGUAUUGAUUGACUGGCAUAAUCUUCUUAAUGGGUUUGUGUGCGUGCAUGCUUAGUUGCUUCAGUCAUGGCCAGCUCUUUUCCACCCUACAGACUGUAUCCUGCCAGGCUCCUCUGUCCAUGGGAUUCUCCAGGCAAGAAUACUGGAGUGGGUUGCCAUACCCACCUCCAGGGGACCUUCCCCACUCAGGGAUCAAAC